ensembl:lncRNA
CCAGCAUCGUCCAUGUAUUCAGAGCAGAGCACAUGGGUGGGUGGGUGUGUUUUGUAUGCGUUUGUAUAUGAUACUUGAUAAGGUUUAAUAUCGAAGGCAUUUAUCCCCCUGUACAUUUAAUUUCGGCAAGUUUGAAAAGGCAAAAAACGCACAGCCAGUCGCCCAGGAAUGACGUCAGGACGUAUCACAUUGAAUAAUGACGCCGUUUGAUCAUUAAAGAAAUUCUGCCAUUAUAAAAUAACUGAAUUGGGUCAGCAAACGGCCACAAAACCCGCGGACAUAGCGGAACUAUCGUGGUGAUGGGAAUGUUCAAAGAACUUUAAAGCGGCGCUUGGGAAGGCGAAGUGUGAGCAGAGCGAGAGAUGGUUCAUGUUUUCAGCAUCUGCAGACAGAAGCGAUAGACGGGAGUCUCGUCGGUCCGUCUGUCUGCCUCCGCUGUUUUUGGGAGACCCGCAAGCCGAAAUACUGCAGUCCCGGCCGGGUUAGGCUUGAACGAUUCAACCAGGAUCUCCCCCCAUCGGGGACUCGAGCACGGGACAGACGUGUUGUUCGAGUCCCUCUAGACCACUGCCCGCUCACCCCCACGGUUGAGACCUUUAACCAAGCCUCCGGUGUUCGGCACCGCCAUGUCCAGCCGCCGGAAGUCGACCACGCCCUGCAUGGUGCUCGCGUCCAACGUGGUGGAGCAGGCGGAGGAAGAGGAGGAGUUGGGGAGGAAGGAGCUGACGGGGGAGGAAGGGGUCCAGGUGGAGGAGGCGGGGCAGAAGAAGAGCUGUGAGGACGAUGAGGAAGAGAGAGCAGCAGUGGCGCUGGAGGAGAUGAGAGAGACCGUUUUGGUGGUUGCACCCACGCCGCCCGACACAGAUGAGCCCGCCUUCCCCCCUGUGGAAGGCCACAGAGACGCCCCCUCCUCGCUGAAGCCCGGCCCGGCAGAACCCUCUCUAGAGGAGGUCCUGUGUGGCGACGGGGAGUCGGUCGCGGCGUCCGAGGAGCCGCCGGGUGGCGUCGGGGCCGGGCCGCGAGCCCAGCCCCCGCUGAGGGAGGAGGGGCGGGAGGAGAAGGAGGAGGAGGAGGAGGGGGGGGAGGACCAGGAGGAGGACCAGGAGGUAGUGGAGGACCAGGCGGCGGCGGCCGUGGCAGCCAUCUCCCUCAGCAAGACCCCCAUCAUGCGGAUGAAGAGCAAGGCGGAGCCCAAGCGCAUCGCCGUGUCCC